UACGUAGGGGGCAAGCGUUGUCCGGAAUCAUUGGGCGUAAAGCGCGUGUAGGCGGCUGGCUAAGUCCGCUCUGAAAGCCCACGGCUCAACCGUGGAAUUGCGCUCGAGACUGAAGGGCUCGAGGACGGGAGAGGAUGGUGGAAUUCCCAGUGUAGAGGUGGAAUUCGUAGAGAUCCGGAAGAACACCUGCGGCGAAGGCGGGUAGCUGGGCCAACACUGACGCUGAGACGCGAAAGCUAGGGGAGCAAACGGG
rnacentral:rRNA from 1 species